rnacentral:lncRNA from 1 species
AACAGCAUAACUAGCCCCUAACUCAGCCUGUGAAGCUAAGGCUGGCCGGAGGAUAUAUAUAUAUAUAUAUAUACAUAUAAACAUACUUAAGUAUCCCCAAAAUACACCAAAACAUCAAAGUAAACUCCUAACUCUCCCUAAUCCUUUAAGAGGAGCAGCAUACAUAAGUUACUUGGAGAGUAAGCUAAACAAAUAUAUACAUAUAUACAACCAAAAACCAAAAUACACCUAAGGACUACUUUGCUUCCCAAGAUCCAGACGUCUAGCGAGGAGCCUCUCGACCUGCAUCUGAAAAACAACAAUAC